rnacentral:rRNA from 1 species
GCCAGACUCCUACGGGAGGCAGCAGUGGGGGAUAUUGCACAAUGGGGGAAACCCUGAUGCAGCGACGCCGCGUGGGCGAAGAAGCAUUUCGGUAUGUAAAGCCCUAUCAGCAGGGAAGAAGAAAUGACGGUACCUGAGUAAGAAGCACCGGCUAAAUACGUGCCAGCAGCCGCGGUAAUACGUAUGGUGCAAGCGUUAUCCGGAUUUACUGGGUGUAAAGGGAGCGCAGGCGGCACGGCAAGCCUGAUGUGAAAGCCCGCGGCCCAACCGCGGGACUGCAUUGGGAACUACCGGGCUGGAGUGCCGGAGAGGUAGGCGGAAUUCCUAGUGUAGCGGUGAAAUGCGUAGAUAUUAGGAGGAACACCAGUGGCGAAGGCGGCCUACUGGACGGUGACUGACGCUGAGGCUCGAAAGCGUGGGGAGCAAACAGGAUUAGAUACCCUCGUAACG